rnacentral:other from 2 species
GCUUCCCUGGGACGCGCGUGAUUUAUGCCUCGGUGCUAACCUGACAAGAAUAUAAAAGGGAGCCGUCACUGUCUUUGUGUGUGCACGCCCGGCAAGACCGGGAAGCCCGGAAAGGACACACAGGCGCCCGACCUGGUUAUCCAGGUUCUGUACCGCAAGCAUGACACGGCGCUCCGGGGAACGC